GCCUGGCGCUGACUGGAAUCCCCAGCACUGCCGUCUGGAGGACAUCGGCGGUAUCUCCCCGAGACUGGAAGUCUGUGUGUCGAAGAGGCGCGGGACGCGAGCCCACCAACCUGGCUGACCACAGGGAGAGGCCGAGCGUCCAGCCCGCGGGGGCCCAAGAUGGUGCCAGAGUUCGAGGCCCUCUGCGCAUGCACCCCACCCGCCUUCGAAUCUAUCCCGUUCGCCGUUGUGGUUUGUUCUCCCGAUUCCUCUUAAGGAGUUGGUCAGUAGAACCAUGGCCUCCAUUGACUACGUCCUCAGUGUCUCAGCUCUCUUCAGUCGAGCUCCAGUCACAGAAGAGGGUUGUGGUGAGACCCAGGCAGAAGUAUUUCCGGUCAACGAGGUCGCGGGUAGUGCGCAUGCGCGCCGUGCAGGGCCCUGAGCAAGGGCGCCUGGGAAACCGUGCGUGAAGUGACACACGCCCUGUCCUCAGGGAGCUCACGGCCGACUGGGAAACAGGAGAACGGGUCAAACGUGGGACGCCCGUCAGCUAUACCCAAAGAAAUGGGGUUUCACCACGUUGCCCAGACUGAUCUCGAACUUCUGGGCUCAAGAGAUCCGUCUGCCUCGGCCUCCCAAGAUUUCGUUGUGGGGAAAAGAUGUAUGAUUCUAUGAUCAGAAUGAAAGCUCUGAGAGGGCAGCCACUGCUGGAAACAGCAGAACAUGGAGG